UCCGUCCAAGGCUAAAUAC
rnacentral:snRNA from 1 species